rnacentral:rRNA from 1 species
UACGUAGGGUGCGAGCGUUGUCCGGAAUUACUGGGCGUAAAGAGCUCGUAGGUGGUUUGUCGCGUUGUUCGUGAAAACUCACAGCUCAACUGUGGGCGUGCGGCGAUACGGGCAGACUAGAGUACUGCAGGGGAGACUGAUUCCUGGUGUAGCGGUGGAAUGCGCAGAUAUCAGGAGGAACACCGGUGGCGAAGGCGGGUCUCUGGGCAGUAACUGACGCUGAGGAGCGAAAGCGUGGGGAGCGAACAGG